rnacentral:rRNA from 1 species
AACCCCGACGUGGCACGCCGUAAAACCCCCGACUUCUGAACGUUGACCUCGGAUCAGGUAGGAAUACCCGCUGAAU